UAUGGAGAUGAGCAAUUAUCACAAAUGAUAUGGCAGAAGUCAGCAGAGGUCGUAGUACUCCUGUAUGAAGGGAAAACGCAAUCCGCGUCUUCUCGAGCCAGUGGGGAAGGAC
rfam:Candidatus Kaiserbacteria bacterium RIFOXYD1_FTLL_47_14 rifoxyd1_full_scaffold_5609, whole genome shotgun sequence.